UGAGGGACAGUGAAAUAGCCCCCUAUUUAAAAAGUUUGAGGACCGCUGAAAAGCCGGCAGGCCUACUAAGUGAGCCCAGCUGUGGGCUCUCUAGCACCUGAUUAGUCAAGCCUUUCCUUCAGUCUUUGAAAUUAGGGCACUAAGUAAAGGUGCUUAAGUUGACAGGGUUUGAGAAAGUUUAAGCAGUCAAGGGUUCAAGUUGGAGGCCACUUGCUUGCUUACUAAGGCCUUCCUUUGAUGGGCAAGAAGAUUGAACUUCCUAUCAAAAUUUAAAAAAAAAAAAAAGAAAUCUGUUCAUUAAGAAGAAGGAACUCAAAAGUUAUUUCCAGAAGUGUUCACAUCUCUGCCCAAUGAAGGCUCAUCCAGAUAAUUCAUCUUCGUGAAAGCCAAGGAUUCAAGCCAUUUAGGAAACAAGGGAGUACUUUGCUGUCAAAAUACACCUUCAGGAUUGGUUCAGAGGUGCUCCUUCCAUGAAACCUUUCAUGAUUUGACUCUCAGCCCUAAACCUCAGCUGAAAGAUUCAGCAAUGACACUCAGAACACUGCAGGAGUUGGGAAGUUCUCAUCCUUCCUUGGCAUUCCAAGCAGGAGCAUCUCCUGUGGUCAAAAGCAUUAAUAUCCUUUACAAAGACCUGACCAUGGAGGUGUUCAAGAGAAGGGUCACCAUGAGUCAGAGAAUAAUGAAGCUAGGAUUCUCUUCUCCCUCCGGCACGACUUCUCCUAUACUCCUUGUCCCGCCACCACCUCCUCCAUCUCCUGUCGAGGGCUAUGGAAACCCUUGUAGGCUUCUGAAAAGUCCUGAAAUCUCUGAUACCUGACUGAAGUAACUCACACUGAGUUUUGUCUCAUGCGUCUCCAAGGGACCCAGCAGCUUCAGAUACAUCUCUGCCUUGCACCCAUUUUCCACUGCGAGUGAGAGUUUUGUUCCCUUGACCUCAAUUGUUAUUCUUUGGCAGAAGUGUUUUUAAAAAUUCUUUUUAAACCAAAAUUUUGACAUGAAGUAGGUAUAGUUUUGGGGGUCUUUGAUGUUAUAUUGUAGAAUACUUGUUGUCUUUUGUAAUUGGUGAAAGAAAUAAAACCUUGAAAGUGU